GGCCUCAUGGUGUAGUGGUUUGAACAUUGGGCUACAACUCUGGAGAACAGGGUUCAAAUCCCUGCUUUGCCA
rnacentral:tRNA from 1 species